rnacentral:rRNA from 1 species
AGGCUAGCGGCAGGCUAAUACAUGCAAGUCGAACGGCAGCGCGGGGCAACCUGGCGGCGAGUGGCGCACGGGUGAGUAACACGUACAUAACAUGCCUUUGAGAGGGGGAAAGUCACUGGAAACGGUGAAUAAUCCGCCAUAAGAUAUGAGUUUCGCAUGGGACAAAUAUUAAAGGAGCGAUCUGCUCAAAGAUUGGUGUGCGUCUGAUUAGCUAGUUGGUGGGGUAAUGGCCCACCAAGGCGACGAUCAGUAGGGGGCGUGAGAGCGUGGCCCCCCACAUGGGUACUGAGACACGGACCCAACUCCUACGGGAGGCAGCAGUAAGGAAUAUUGGUCAAUGGGCGAAAGCCUGAACCAGCCAUGCCGCGUGCGGGAAGAAGGUUCUUAGAAUUGUAAACCGCUUUUGAUAGGGAAGAAUGGGCGAGAUUAAUCUUGCAAGAGACGGUACCUAUCGAAUAAGCACCGGCUAACUCCGUGCCAGCAGCCGCGGUAAUACGGAGGGUGCAAGCGUUAUCCGGAAUCACUGGGUUUAAAGGGUACGUAGGCGGCUCGUUAAGUCAUUAUUGAAAGGUCGUUGCUUAACAACGGACGUGGUAAAGAUACUGGCGAGCUAGAAUUAGACAGAGGUUGGCAGAAUGUGUCAUGUAGCGGUGAAAUGCAUAGAUAUGACAUAGAAUACCGAUAGCGAAGGCAGCUGACUGGUCUAAAUUGACGCUGAGGUACGAAAGCGUGGGGAUCAAACAGGAUUAGAUACCCUGGUAGUCCACGCCGUAAACGAUGCUAACUGGGUGUAUGAUCGAAUAAAGGGUUGUGCACCUGAGGGAAACCAUUAAGUUAGCCACCUGGGAAGUACGCCGGCAACGGUGAAACUCAAAUGAAUUGACGGAAGGGCGAAU